ensembl:Mt_tRNA
GGAAGUAUGUCCGACAAUAGGAACCACUUUGAUAGAGUGGCUACAGGGGAUAUUACCCCCUUUCUUCCU